UACAGAGGGGGCAAGCGUUGUUCGGAAUUACUGGGCGUAAAGAGCUCGUAGGUGGUUUGUCGCGUUGUUCGUGAAAACCGGGGGCUUAACCCUCGGCGUGCGGGCGAUACGGGCAGACUUGAGUACUGCAGGGGAGACUGGAAUUCCUGGUGUAGCGGUGAAAUGCGCAGAUAUCAGGAGGAACACCGGUGGCGAAGGCGGGUCUCUGGGCCGAUACUGACGCUGAGGAGCGAAAGCCAGGGGAGCAAACGGG
rnacentral:rRNA from 1 species